rnacentral:lncRNA from 1 species
CCUGUUUGUCUUGCACAAAGGGGGAAAUGCAAAAUACAAUCCAUAAACCAUAAAAAUAAAACAAUCAAAAGAGUACCUCUCUUGACAUUUCUUGCCUAUAUGUCCACCUUACAAUGAGACCAUUUUGUUGGUCCAUACUGCAUUUUGAGCACAAAUAUCAGGUGCCAAUAGGUAGUUAUGAAUACAGCGCAUUCAAAAAUAGAAGUAGCAAAAUUUGGCUAAAUAAAAGUUCUGGGACUGUCGCAAAAUGUAAAGAACGUAACUAUACCUGCAUUGUAUGCAAACCCAACCCAUCAGCAUCAUGUCUAGAUCUACAUGGCUGUACCUUAAAUACUUAGAAAAACGUUAUUCCAGUGACUGGACAACAAUAAUACAAAAAAUAGUAUGGUAUCCACAUAAGACAUUAUCACAAAAAAGUUUAGAAAAAAGAAUAGUGUUAGAUCUGUUCAAAUUCAACAAACAACAAUCAAUCCUGACAUAUAAAACACAAGUUAUACAAACCACACCGUCAAGCAAAUGCAAUACACGCAUGGUCACACAAGCACACACCCAAUCAAGCACUUGCACACAAUCAAGACAAAAGAAACAGACAUAGAUACGGACACAUCACACACACAGUCACACACACAAUGUAGCACUUGCACACAAGAAACAGACUCUGUCAAGGACCUCGGUGCCCAAGACAGCAGGACCUCGACUACGUAGUUCGUAGUCUCGGUUGAUAGGAGCGCUAGGGUUUUUGCCUAACUGCUCAAUGGUGCAGGAGAAGAGAUUAGGAGUAGAGGAGGAGGUAGGAGAUAAUGAUUUAUUGCCUGCGUCCAAGGGUGCAGAUUACAGGAUAUAUAAAGGCCUUAUGGGCUUCUAACAAACUAGGAAACUAACUACUCCUGGACUCCUAACAAACAAGGAAACUAACUAUUCCUGGACUCUAGGAACCAACGUAGGAUCAGGACUCCUUGUCCCGAUCAUGCCUCGCCAGCUGUGGCCGUCGGCUGCUGCCCCUGGGCGCGCGACCCGCGCCUGUACGCAGCGCCCCACAUGACAUCUCUCCCCCCCUCGACGAGCAGCUCGUCCUCGAGCUGAAAAGCGGGGUAGCGCUCGACAAAACUGUCAAGAUCCUCCCAUGUAGCUGAUGAUGCUGCUUCACCCUUCCAGUGGACGAGCAGCUGGCGAACGCCGCGUGCUAGUCGUGCACGAGUCACGCGCUCCGGUUCUGGAACAGCCGCCCCGUUGUGGAUCGGAGGCAAUCCCGGUGGUGCAGUUGGAGGCGUGCCGAAGAACUUCUUGAGGAGGCCCACGUGGAACACGUCAUGGUGGCGCGAGCGUGCCGGAAGCUCAAGGCGGUAGGCCACGUCGUUGACGACCUCUGAAAUGCGGUACGACCCAUAGAAGCGUGGCUUGAGCUUGCCCCUGGUUGGCAGGUUGGGAGAGGACGCGGCGCGCUGGCGAAGACGAAGCCAGACCCAAUCGCCCACGUCAUGCCGAAUGUCCCGAUGGCGUCUGUCGUAGUAGGACUUGUAGACCGCUUGUGCCUGCUGUAGACGAUAGCGGACGUCUGCGAGUAACUCGUCGCGCUCCGCCAUGCUCCUGGCCAUGCUCUGAUACCAAGUUGUCAAGGACCUCGGUGCCCAAGACAGCAGGACCUCGACUACGUAGUUCGUAGUCUCGGUUGAUAGGAGCGCUAGGGUUUUUGCCUAACUGCUCAAUGGUGCAGGAGAAGAGAUUAGGAGUAGAGGAGGAGGUAGGAGAUAAUGAUUUAUUGCCUGCGUCCAAGGGUGCAGAUUACAGGAUAUAUAAAGGCCUUAUGGGCUUCUAACAAACUAGGAAACUAACUACUCCUGGACUCCUAACAAACUAGGAAACUAACUAUUCCUGGACUCUAGGAACCAACGUAGGAUCAGGACUCCUUGUCCCGAUCAUGCCUCGCCAGCUGUGGCCGUCGGCUGCUGCCCCUGGGCGCGCGACCCGCGCCUGUACGCAGCGCCCCACAUGACAGACUCCCUCCACAUUUUCACAUCCGGGCUUGGGACCGGCAGAGGCAGUGUUAAGCCACAACAACCAAUCAUUCAGCAAAGCAUACAAGCCACACACACAGUCAAGCCACACACAGUCAUUGUCAAAAUACAAUACUCACACAGUCACACAUCACAGUCAAAUGCACAAUAUUCACACAAUCACACACACAGUCAAACACAUAGUAACGCAUCACAGUCAAAUGCAAUAUUCACACACAGUCAAACACACGGUGACACACACAGACAGUCAAGCCACACACACAAGAGAGUCAAGCCACACAAAGUCGGACACACACAGAAUGGAGCGCUUGCACACAAAAAACAGAAAUAGAUUGGGGCACAAACAGAAACCAAAUACAUGAAAGACCGAAGUAACUCAGAAAGGUAUAAAGAAAUAGCAGAACCUGGAUGACUAAACUGAUUUCUCUCGAGGCGGGAGGGUGAUUCAGAUCUUCGUUCCUGAAAACGAUUAGAGGUUGAUUAGGUUGAUUAAGCAAUUAUCUUCAACACUACCCACAAGUUUGUAGGACUAUGAACAGAAAAGAAAAGUUAAAUGUGUUCUUGUUCUACUUACUAGAGAAAGCAAGGCAAGUAACAUGAGCAAAAUUCUUAUAGAAAAUCUGGCUAAGGCAAGCCAUUCAUACCUAAAAAAAAUUACGUUUCAAGUUGACAACAGUGAUUGCCUCUCAUCAUUUCCAAGCCGGUGGCUAGCCUGAACUCGCAUGAGCAACUUAAAAUGUGAGUGACCACAAUGUAAAUGAUUUAUUCUUGAAAGCAAGAAAAGUAGCUUACCUCAUGAGCAGCACCAACAGUCAUAUUAGAAAAGAAGAUUUAGAUGACCUGUUAUGUAAUAAGCAUCAUAUGAGUCAGAAAUACUUGGGAAUCAGUUUAUGAUCAAUGUUAUCAAGGAAUCAAGGAUUCAGUUUUAAACAAGUCAGACAAACUGAUCAAAAUUCAUAAUCCGGCCAAUUGAAAGGAUAGAAACUUACUGAUGAUUUUGUGUAUCUUGUAACUCCAAUAAUCCACUUGGUUUUGUCGUCUUUGACUUUAGCUAUAGGUGAGAAGAACCUAAGAACAAAUAGAAGUACCCGAUUCCUGCAAUGUUCAAAUGUGUGGUACACGUUAUGAUGUGCGGAAAGAAUGAGGAAGUGGCAGGGGCUAGAAAUCUGGUAACAAAAAGGGCCAAGGCUAGGCUACAUUAUCCCAAUAAGAUGCAAGUUGUUUGACGGUACCUUCUAGGAAGAACUUUUGCUAUUUCUGCCCAUCUAUUCCCAUAUACCCGAUGGGCAUUAAUCAGUGCAUGUUCCUCCUCAAUAGUCCAAGCUUCUCUCUGUAUGUAUGAAUUAAAAAUCAGCUUCAUAUUUACCAAUCAGCUCUUCACAUAACCAGUGUGUUUCUAAAUUAGUAAACAUUCCCUGUUUGUCUUGCACAAAGGGGGAAAUGCAUAAUACAAUCCAUAAACCAUAAAAAUAAAACAAUCAAAAGAGUACCUCUCUUGACAUUUCUUGCCUAUAUGUCCACCUUGCAAUGAGACCAUUUUGUUGGUCCAUACUGCAUUUUGAGCACAAAUAUCAGGUGCCAAUAGGUAGUUAUGGAUACAGCACAUCCAAAAAUAGAAGUAGCAAAAUUUGGCUAAAUAAAAGUUUUGGGACUGUCGCAAAGUGUAAAGAACGUAAAUAUACCUGCAUUGUAUGCAAACCCAACCCAUCAGCAUCAUGUCUAGAUCUACAUGGCUGUACCUUAAAUACUUAGAAAAGCGUUAUUCCAGUGACUGGACAACAAUAAUACAAAAAAUAGUAUGGUAUCCACAUAAGACAUAAUCACAAAAAAGUUUAGAAAAAAGAAUAGUGUUAGAUCUGUUCAAAUUCAACAAACAACAAUCAAUCCUGACAUAUAAAACACAAGUUAUACAAACCACACCGUCAAGCAAAUGCAAUACACGCAUGGUCACACAAGCACACACCAAAUCAAGCACUUGCACACAAUCAAGACAAAAGAAACAGACAUAGAUACGGACACAUCACACACACAGUCACACACACACAAUGUAGCACUUGCACACAAGAAACAGACUCCCUCCACAUUUUCACAUCCGGGCUUGGGACCGGCAGAGGCAGUGUUAAGCCACAACAACCAAUCAUUCAGCAAAGCAUACAAGCCACACACACAGUCAAGCCACACACAGUCAUUGUCAAAAUACAAUACUCACACAGUCACACAUCACAGUCAAAUGCACAAUAUUCACACAAUCACACAAACAGUCAAACACAUAGUAAUGCAUCACAGUCAAAUGCAAUAUUCACACACAGCCAAACACACGGUGACACACACAGACAGUCAAGCCACAUACACAAGAGAGUCAAGCCACACAAAGUCGGACACACACAUAGUGGAGCGCUUGCACACAAAAAACAGAAAUAGAUAAGGGCAUAAACAGAAACCAAAUACAUGAAAGACCGAAGUAACUCAGAAAGCUAUAAAGAAAUAGCAGAACCUGGAUGACUAAACUGAUUUCUCUCGAGGCGGGAGGGUGAUUCAGAUCUUCGUUCCUGAAAACCAUUAGAGGUUGAUUAGGUUGAUUAAGCGAUUAUCUUCAACACUACCCACAAGUUUGUAGGACUAUGAACAGAAAAGAAAAGUUAAAUGUGUUCUUGUUCUACUUACUAGAGAAAGCAAGGCAUGUAACAUGAGCAAAAUUCUUAUAGCAAAUCUGGCUAAGAUAAGCCAUUCAUACCUAAAAAAAUUUAUGUUUCAAGUUGACAACAGUGAUUGCCUCUCAUCAUUUCCAAGCCGGUGGCUAGCCUGAACUGGCAUGAGCAACUUAAAAUGUGAGUGACCACAAUGUAAAUGAUUUAUUCUUGAAAGCAAGAAAAUUAGCUUACCUCAUGAGCAGCACCAACAGUCAUAUUAGAAAAGAAGAUUUAGAUGACCUGUGAUGUAAUAAGCAUCAUAUGAGUCAGAAAGACUUGGGAAUCAGUUUAUGAUCAAAGUUAUCAAGGAAUCAAGAAUUCAGUUUAAAACAAGUCAGACAAACUGAUCAAAAUUCAUAAUACUGCCAUUUAAAAGGAUAGAAACUUACCGAUGAUUUUGUGUAUCUUGUAACUCCAAUAAUCCACUUGGUUUUGUCGUCUUUGACUUUAGCUCUAGGCGAGAAGAACCUAAGAACAAAUAGAAGUACCCGAUUCCUGCAAUGUUCAAAUGUGUGGUACACGUUAUGAUGUGCAGGAAAGAAUGAGGAAGUGACAGGGGCUAGGAAUCUGGUAACAAAGAGGGCCAAGGCUAGGCUACAUUAUCCCAAUAAGAUGCAAGUUGUUUGACGGUACCUUCUAGGAAGAACUUUUGCUAUUUCUGGCCAUCUAUUCCCAUAUACCCGAUGGGCAUUAAUCAAUGCAUGUUCCUUCUCAAUAGUCCAAGCUUCUCUCUGUAUGUAUGAAUUCAAAGUCAGCUUCAUAUUUACCAAUCAGCUCUUCACAUAACCAGUGUGUUUCUAAAUUAGUAAACAUUCCCUGUUUGUCUUGCACAAAGGGGGAAAUGCAAAAUACAAUCCAUAAACCAUAAAAAUAAAACAAUCAAAAGAGUACCUCUCUUGACAUUUCUUGCCUAUAUGUCCACCUUGCAAUGAGACCAUUUUGUUGGUCCAUACUGCAUUUUGAGCACAAAUAUCAGGUGCCAAUAGGUAGUUAUGGAUACAACGCAUCUAAAAAUAGAAAUAGCAAAAUUUGGCUAAAUAAAAGUUUUGGGACUGUCGCAAAAUGUAAAGAACGUAAAUAUACCUGCAUUGUAUGCAAACCCAACCCAUCAGCAUCAUGUCUAGAUCUACAUGGUUGUACCUUAAAUACUUAGAAAAGCGUUAUUCCAGUGACUGGACAACAAUAAUACAAAAAAGAGUGUGGUAUCCACAUAAGACAUAAUCACAAAAAAAUUCAAAAAAAAAAAUAGUGUUAGAUCUGUUCAAAUUCAACAAACAACAAUCAAUCCUGACAUAUAAAACGCAAGUUAUACAAACCACACCGUCAAGCAAAUGCAAUAUUCACACACAGUAACACACAUAGUCAAGCCACACACAUAUUCACCAUCAAGCCACACACAAUCUCACACACACAGUCAAGCCCAUACACACAGUCAAGCCACACACACAAUCAAGCCACACACAUAAUCAAGCCACACACACAAAGUCAAGCCACACAGAGUCACACACACAGAAUGGAGCGCUUGCACACAAGAAACAAGGAUAGAUAGGGGCACAAAGAGAAAACUAAUACAUGCAAAACUGAAGUAAACCCAGAAAACUAUAAAGAAAGUCUAGAACUUGAAUGAGUAAAUUGAUUUCUCUAGAGGGGUGAGGG